UACGGAGGAUGCGAGCGUUAUCCGGAUUUAUUGGGUUUAAAGGGUGCGUAGGCUGAUAUUUAAGUCAGUGGUGAAAUAUUCCGGCUCAACCGGGAGGCUGCCAUUGAAACUGGAUAUCUUGAGUCUGGUCGAAGUGGGCGGAAUGAGGGGUGUAGCGGUGAAAUGCAUAGAUAUUCCUCAGAACACCGAUAGCGAAGGCAGCUCACUAGGUCAGCACUGACGCUGAUGCACGAAAGCGUGGGGAUCAAACAGG
rnacentral:rRNA from 1 species